AAUGCGAUACGUAGUGUGAAUUGCAGAAUUCCGCGAAUCAUCGAGUCUUUGAACGCAAGUUGCGCCCGAGGCUUGACCAAGGGCAUCCCUGCCAGAGCGUCACCG
rnacentral:rRNA from 1 species